rnacentral:rRNA from 1 species
GAGUUUGAUCCUGGCUCAGGACGAACGUUGGCGGCGUGCUUAACACAUGCAAGUCUACUUGAGAUUUGACUUCGGUUAUAUUGAUGGUGGCGAACGGGUGAGUAACGCGUAGAUAAUCUGCCCUUUAGACUGGGAUAAGCUCGGGAAACUGAGUGUAAUACCGGAUGUGAUCAUUUGAAUGCAUAUUUUGAUGAUUAAAGAACUUGAUUCGCUAAAGGAUGAGUCUGCGUGGCAUUAGCUUGUUGGUGAGGUAAAAGCUCACCAAGGCAUCGAUGCCUAGCUGGCCUGAGAGGAUGAUCAGCCACACUGGGACUGAGAUACGGCCCAGACUCCUACGGGAGGCAGCAGUGAGGAAUAUUGCACAAUGGGGGCAACCCUGAUGCAGCAACGCCGCGUGUAUGAAGAAUCGGUUAUCCGUGUAAAGUACUGUUGAUUGGGAAGAACGGCAGGGUUAGUAGCCUUGUUUGACGGUACCAGUUAAGAAAGCUCCGGCUAACUCCGUGCCAGCAGCCGCGGUAAUACGGAGGGAGCAAACGUUGUCCGGAAUCAUUGGGCGUAAAGGGUACGAAGGUGGGAUUUUAAGUCAGUUGUUAAAGAUUACGGCUCAACCGUGAUUUGCAAUUGAAACUGGAAUUCUUAAGUUCGAGAGGGGACGGUGGAAUAUUUAGUGUAGCGGUGGAAUGCGUAGAUAUUAAAUAGAACACCUGAGGCGAAGGCGACCGUCUGGCUCGUAACUGACACUCAAGUACGAAAGCAUGGGUAGCGAACAGGAUUAGAUACCCUG